AAAUGAAUAGACGGGGACCCGCACAAGCGGUGGAGCAUGUGGUUUAAUUCGACGCAACGCGAAGAACCUUACCAGGGCUUGACAUCCCCCGCGAUCCUAGGAAACUAGGAGUUCGGGCCUUCGGGUCCGACGGGGAGACAGGUGGUGCAUGGUUGUCGUCAGCUCGUGUCGUGAGAUGUUGGGUUAAGUCCCGCAACGAGCGCAACCCCUACUUUUAGUUGCCAACAGGUAAAGCUGGGAACUCUAGAAGAACUGCCGGUGACAAACCGGAGGAAGGUGGGGACGACGUCAAAUCAUCAUGCCCUUUAUGUCCUGGGCUACACACGUGCUACAAUGGUCGGUACAAAGGGAAGCAAGAGAGCGAUCUGGAGCAAAUCCCAUAAAGCCGGUCUCAGUUCGGAUUGCAGGCUGCAACCCGCCUGCAUGAAGUCGGAAUCGCUAGUAAUCGCGAGUCAGCAUAUCGCGGUGAAUACGUUCCCGGGUCUUGUACACACCGCCCGU
rnacentral:rRNA from 1 species